AGUGAACGCUGGCGGUUGGCCUAACACAUGCAAGUCGAACGGCAGCACAGUAAGAGCUUGCUCUUACGGGUGGCGAGUGGCGGACGGGUGAGGAAUACAUCGGAAUCUACUUUUUCGUGGGGGAUAACGUAGGGAAACUUACGCUAAUACCGCAUACGACCUACGGGUGAAAGCAGGGGAUCUUCGGACCUUGCGCGAUUGAAUGAGCCGAUGUCGGAUUAGCUAGUUGGCGGGGUAAAGGCCCACCAAGGCGACGAUCCGUAGCUGGUCUGAGAGGAUGAUCAGCCACACUGGAACUGAGACACGGUCCAGACUCCUACGGGAGGCAGCAGUGGGGAAUAUUGGACAAAGGGCGCAAGCCUGAUCCAGCCAUACCGCGUGGGUGAAGAAGGCCUUCGGGUUGUAAAGCCCUUUUGUUGGGAAAGAAAAGCAGCAGGUUAAUACCCCGCCGUUCUGACGGUACCCAAAGAAUAAGCACCGGCUAACUUCGUG
rnacentral:rRNA from 1 species